rnacentral:tRNA from 1 species
GGGGAUGUAGCUCAGAUGGUAGAGCGCCCGCUUAGCAUGCGGGAGGUAUUGGGAUCGAUACCCAACUUCUCCAC